GACGAACCACCCGAACGUUAUUCGGAAUCACUGGGCUUAAAGGGCGCGUAGGCGGCGCGGAAAGUAGGGUGUGAAAUCCCUCGGCUCAACCGAGGAACUGCGCUCUAAACUACCGUGCUCGAGGGAGACAGAGGUGAGCGGAACUUAGGGUGGAGCGGUGAAAUGCGUUGAUAUCCUAAGGAACACCGGUGGCGAAAGCGGCUCACUGGGUCUCUUCUGACGCUGAGGCACGAAAGCUAGGGUAGCGAACGGG
rnacentral:rRNA from 1 species